GUAGGGAAAUGGUUGGCUAGGUUAUUAGACCUUGUUUGGUUUAAAUGAACUACUUCCUGGGAACUCUACUUGUUAGGAAGUAAGUUAUCUAGCUUAGAGUACGUAACUUAUUGGAAAGUGGAGAAAAAAUGGCCUUUCACUUCCUAGGAAGUGGACACUUACUCCCAAUUAAACAAGUCAAUUUUUUGCAUUUCUUGGUAACUUGAAGUUCUCUAGCUCACUUACUUCCAUCCAAACAAGGCUGAUUAGGAGGCUUUGGAGGUGGUCUCAGUAAAUAUUGUG
rnacentral:misc_RNA from 1 species